rnacentral:rRNA from 1 species
UNUGACUUGAGUGCAGAAGGGGAGAGUGGAANUUCCAUGUGUAGCGGUGAAAUGCGUAGAUAUAUGGAGGAACACCAGNGGCGAAAGCGGCUCUCUGGUCUGUCACUGACGCUGAGGCUNGAAAGCGUGGGUAGCGAACAGGAUUAGAUACCCUGGUAGUNCACGCCGUAAACGAUGAGUGCUAGGUGUUAGGCCCUUUCCGGGGCUUAGUGCCGGAGCUAACGCAAUAAGCACUCCGCCUGGGGAGUACGACCGCAAGGUUGAAACUCAAAGGAAUUGACGGGGGCCCGCACAAGCGGUGGAGCAUGUGGUUUAAUUCGAAGCAACGCGAAGAACCUUACCAGGUCUUGACAUCCCGAUGCUAUUCUUAGAGAUAGGAAGUUACUUCGGUACGUCGGAGACAGGUGGUGCAUGGUUGUCGUCAGCUCGUGUCGUGAGAUGUUGGGUUNNNNNNNNNNNNNNNNCGCAACCCUUAUUGUUAGUUGCCAUCAUUAAGUUGGGCACUCUAGCGAGACUGCCGGUAAUAAACCGGAGGAAGGUGGGGAUGACGUCAAAUCAUCAUGCCCCUUAUGACCUGGGCUACACACGUGCUACAAUGGUCGGUACAACGAGUUGCGAGCCGGUGACGGCAAGCUAAUCUCUGAAAGCCGAUCUCAGUUCGGAUUGGAGGCUGCAACUCGCCUCCAUGAAGUCGGAAUCGCUAGUAAUCGCGGAUCAGCACGCCGCGGUGAAUACGUUCCCGGGCCUUG